rnacentral:misc_RNA from 1 species
UUAAGUUCAGCGGGUAGUCCUACCUGAUUUGAGGUCAAGCAUUCAAGAAAUUGUCCCGUAAAACUGAGACGAUUAGAAGCUGAACACUGAGAGCAAUCCCCUCGCCAGUGCAGAUAAAUUAUCACACUUGUGGCAGAUCGCAAAUGGUUCCGCUAAUGCAUUUCAGAGGAGCUGACCUCGACAAGUGGCCAGCAAGCCUC